rnacentral:lncRNA from 1 species
AUUUGAGUCCUGAUCACGAUGCAUUGAAAACUUCCUAUGUGAGAUGUUUCUGUUUUUAUAUCUCUUCCAGGUGUCCCUGAGUAUAUAAGCAUGGGUCUAUGUCUACCAAGCUCACUGUAGAGUCACUUUUACCUUUUGCUAUGGUGGAAUGGGAUCUGUAGGGUCAGGAACACAGCACCCAACACAGUGCCUUAUGGAUAGUAGUUUUAUAAUACAGAUGUGUUGGAAGAAUAAAUGAAUGGGUCCUUUUCAAACAAAUUCACCAGAAGUUACCACAUUCUCUGUAUGUAUGUCCUUUUUCGUUUGGCAUUUAGCUGACACUGACUUUUGUUUGCUUUCAUCUAGAGUGACCAACCAUCCUCUUGUGCCCAGAACUACAGGACUUUCCAUUUUAAAACUAGGAGAGUCCCACACAAACCAGGACUGUUGAGAAUGAAGAAAAGCAAGGCAGGAUGACAGCCCACCCAGGAGCAACAUGGAGACAGAGGAACCUCCUCCACCCAGGGAAGUCGUAAGUGAAUGUGCGAUCCUGGGAAACCACGCUCCUCCCAUGGAUCCUUGCAACCCUUGGGUCAGGAGAUCCCCUGGUGAACCCACUCCACCAGGGCCUUCAGUCUGACACACAGAGAUACAUG